UACGUAGGGGGCAAGCGUUGUCCGGAAUCAUUGGGCGUAAAGAGCGCGUAGGCGGCUAGAUAAGUCCGGUGUGAAAGUCACAGGGCUCAACCUGUGAAUGCCGCUGGAAACUGUCUGGCUAGAGUCCGGAAGGGGCGAGUGGAAUUCCUGGUGUAGCGGUGAAAUGCGCAGAUAUCAGGAGGAACACCAAUGGCGAAGGCAGCUCGCUGGGACGGUACUGACGCCUGAGGCGCGAAAGCGUGGGGAGCAAACAGG
rnacentral:rRNA from 1 species